UCAGACUGCAGUAUCACUGAAGAAGGUUAUAAAGCUCUGGCUUCAGCUCUGAGAUCAAACCCUUCACACCUGAUAGAGCUGGAUCUCACAGGAAAUGAUCCUGGACAAUCAGGAGUGAAGGACCUCAUUGAUUUACUACAGGAUCCAAGCUGUCAAUUGAAGACACUGAGCUCUGCAGUGUUGACUGUGUUUGAAGUGUCCGACAAUUUUACGGCACUUGGCUAAAACGCUGUCAAAUCCACUGUCUCGAAAAGCCACGGUGAUUAUCCUUUGUAUAACAUGCGCCACACAAGGAAUAUGCUCGAAUGGUAAACUCCUUGCAGCAGCUAUGGGCAUAGAACAUGCCG